GCAAGUCGAGGGGCAGCAUUUCUAGCUUGCUAGAAGAUGGCGACCGGCGCACGGGUGAGUAACGCGUAUGCAACCUACCUUAUACUGGGGGAUAGCCCAAAGAAAUUUGGAUUAAUACCGCAUAACAAUAUUUUAUCGCAUGGUAAGAUAUUUAAAACUCCGGUGGUAUAAGAUGGGCAUGCGUAGCAUUAGUUAGUUGGUGAGGUAAUGGCUCACCAAGACAAUGACGCCUAACUGGUUUGAGAGGAUGAUC
rnacentral:rRNA from 1 species